UUUUUUUUUUUUUUUUUUUUUUUUGAGACAGGGUGUUGCUCCAUUGCCCAGGCUGAAGUGCAGUGGUGGGAUGAUAACUCACUGCAGCCUCAACUUCCUGGGCUUAACUGAUCCUCCCACCUCAGCCUCUCAAGUAGCUGAGAUUACAGGUGCACACCAAUACGCCUGGCUAAUUAAAAAACAACAAACAAACAAACAAAAAUAUGUUUUUUUUUUGUAGAGAUGGGGUCUCACUGGGUUGCCCAGGCUGAUCUGAAACUCUUGCCCUCAGGUGAUCCUCCCGUCUCAGACUCUCCAAGUGCUAGGAUUGAGCCACCACGCCCAUCUGGGAUGCCUUGUCUUUUAUACCUUUACUCCACAAAUAUGUGCUUAGGCAUUGCUUGCUGUGGCCAGAACCUUGCAGGGGUGAGGGACACAGGUAAAUGAGAGCUGGUCCCAGCCCUCCCUCAGAAAGCUGCUGGACCACAGGGUGACAAAACUGAAGCUGUCUGUCACAUCCGGGAGCAGGUGCUAUGAGGAUAAGCAGCCAGAGAAGACCCCUAACUUGAUCUGUGGCCAUCAAAGAAGGCACCCAAGGCAGGAUGCCUCCCUGAAUCCUAAAGCCAAUUAGCAGUCAGCCAGGACAGCUGCUAGAGGGGUCUAAGCGGGAGUGGAGAGGAUGUUCCAGGCAGAGGGAAUAGCAGACAGGAAGGCUCAGAGGUGAGUGUGAGCAGGCAGUCUCAGGGACCCCAGACAGUUGGUGAGGCUGCAGUGCUCAGGGGAGGUGUGCCAACAGGUAAGCUGGCAGGGCCGGGUCCCUGGGGGCUGGCUUGUCCUUUCUGCCAUUGUCUGAGAGAGUGGGUGGCUGGUAUCUGGUGGCCCAGAUGAAGAUAAUGGCGAUGCAAUUGUGUUCUUCUUUCUGCUCGGUGCCUCUCAGUUAAGGACAUUUGCAAAAAUUAAUAACAGCAUAUGCUUUUAUGUCCUCCACUUAAAUUUCCUUUGGAUUAAAGAAAGUAAUGGAGGGAAAGGAAGAAAAGCAGGAAGGAGCGAGAGAGGGAGGGGAGAGACAAAAGAAGGAAAAUAAUUUGGGGAAAAAAAAUUUGUCCUUUUCUGGGCUAAGAUAGCCCCAGCCUUUGCAUUUUCUCACCCACUGAGUCACCAGCCUCCUGCCCUCUUUCAGGACUGUACAUCUUGGCCUCUUACCUACUGUGUCUGCGUCAGCCUCCCUCACAGCCUGAUGGCCCCUGCGGCAGCCCCAACCCAGUUUCAGGGGCUAAGAAAACUACAGUUGCAUGAACGAGUGGAGGUGAGUGGGAGGCAGAAGCGGCGGGGAGAACCAGUCUGUUCCGAGAUCUCUGGACCAACCAGUGGCUCCUGAUGGUCAGCCUUGUCUAGAGCCCCUUCCAGCGUGCAGGCCAGUCCUCCUGGCAUUCUUCUAAUUACACCGAGCUGUGAGUUAUGUGUGCCAAGUAUGUGCUGGAUUUUGUACCAAGUGCUUUCCAUUCAUCAGUUCAGGGUAGUGAUGCAGGUAGCUCCAGGCUCAGAGAGGAACAGUGACUUCUCCCAGGUCACACAGCUGGAAAGUGGCUGAGUCUGGAUUCAAACCCAGACUUCCUUGUUGCUAGGACCUGUAUUUUCAACCACUGCCUAUGCCUCUAUAACGAGCCAGCUUAUGGCUGUGUUCACGCAAAGAGAAAAGCAUCCAAAUGGGAAGGCUGGAGAAUUCAAGCAAUUUUCCCACGUGUCAGACAGUCCUGUUUCCCUCUCCCUUCAAAAAAAGUCCUGGAUUAUCUCUCUCUCUCUCUCUUUCUUUUUCCUUUUCCUUUUUGUUUUUUUUCUUUGUUUUUUCUUUCUUUCUUUCUUUCUUUUUUUUUGAAACAGGGUAUUACUCUGUUACUCAGGCUGGAGUGCAGUGGUGUGAUCACAGCCC
rnacentral:sRNA from 1 species